CUUUGAAAGGUACAGCACAAGGUUGCUUGCAUUUGCCAGGAAAGCUAGAUUCUCCAGAAUCUCCACGGCUACGGAUUAACAAGAUUUCACAAGUACGUUAAUGGAUGGAAUAUUAAUCUCACCGACAAAGAAUAUAUUGAGCCUUGCUGAAGUUGCCCAAGCAAUACAAGUAGAGGUCCUUCGUGUCUGAUUUAUGUCCAUAUUUUUGUUAGCGUAUGCUCCAUGGCUGGCUCAAUGAGAAUUGCUUGAUAAGACUUAACAUGCCGCUGAGUGCCAUUUUUAACUCUGUACAGCCAGGUGGCAAUUUUGCAUGUGAAUUUUUUACCUCUACCGCAUUACGGGAAAUAAUAUCUCUCGCCUUGUAAAUCCUCUCUCCAGGUAUAUUUUAGGCUUUCAAAAGUAUGCAAGAUAUCACCUGGUUGUAGAGAUUAUUGACUGAUCA